CAUAGGAGAAUGACAAAUCAGAUUUUUUCUCCUAAUUUUUAACUUUUUCUUACUGAAUAAAUUCAAAUCUAAUUAAAAAAUGCUAAAAAUCAGGAGGAAAAAUAUGAUUUGUCAUUCUCCUAUU
rfam:Gossypium raimondii Chr06_contig_497, whole genome shotgun sequence.